rnacentral:rRNA from 1 species
GAAUAAGAGGUUGCUAACUCUGUGCCAGCAGCAGCGGUAAUACAGAGACCUCGAGCGUUAUCCGGAUUUACUGGGCGUAAAGCGUCUGUAGGGGGUUUGUUAAGUUCCAAGUAAAAUCUUAAGGCUCAACUUUAAGUUCGCUUGGAAAACUAAUAAACUGGAGUCCAGCAGAGGUGCAUGGAACUUGCGGUGUAGGAGUGAAAUCCGUUGAUAUCGCAAGGAACACCAAAGGCGAAGGCAUUGCACUGGGCUGGUACUGACCCUGAGAGACGAAAGCGUGGGGAGCAAAACGGAUUAGAUACCCGUGUAGUCCACGCCGUAAACGAUGGAUACUAGAUUGUUCGGGGAUUCGACCCCCGCUUGGGUGNUUCCACAGCUAACGCGUUAAGUUAAAUCCCGCCUGGGAAGUACGGCCGCCAAAGGGCUUAAAAAAGCUCAAAAGGAAUAGACGGGGAUCCGCACAAGCGGUGGAGCGUUUCUGCGUUAAUUUGAUAGUUAANGCAAUGGACCUUCAANCCAAGGGUUGACAUCCUAUGACAACCCCUGGGAAACAGGGGCUUCCUUCGGGCAUAGUGACAGGUGCUGCAUGGUGUCGUCAGUUUCGUGCCGUGAGGUGUUCACGUUAAGUCGGGAAACGAACGAAACCCUCGUCGCAUGUUACAAAUUUCAAAAUGCNGAGACUGCACCAGGGUCAACCGGGAGGAAGGGCCCGNGGGGGGGAAAANUNGACGUCAGANNUCAGCNAUGGCCCUUAUACCUUGGGCUACACAGGCGCUACAAUGCCGGUACAAAGGGUUGCAAAACCGCGAGGUGAAGCUAAUCCCAUAAAGCCGGUCCCAAGUUUCCGGAUUUUGGAAAGGGCUUGCAANANCUCGCCUCCAUGAAGUUGGAAUCGCUAGUAAUCGUGGAUCAGCCAUACCACGGUGAUACGUUCCCGGAUCUUGUACUCACCG